rnacentral:rRNA from 1 species
GACGAACGCUGGCGGCGUGCUUAACACAUGCAAGUCGAACGGAAAGGCCCUGCUUUUGUGGGGUGCUCGAGUGGCGAACGGGUGAGUAACACGUGAGUAACCUGCCCUUGACUUUGGGAUAACUUCAGGAAACUGGGGCUAAUACCGGAUAGGAGCUCCUGCUGCAUGGUGGGGGUUGGAAAGUUUCGGCGGUUGGGGAUGGACUCGCGGCUUAUCAGCUUGUUGGUGGGGUAGUGGCUUACCAAGGCUUUGACGGGUAGCCGGCCUGAGAGGGUGACCGGCCACAUUGGGACUGAGAUACGGCCCAGACUCCUACGGGAGGCAGCAGUGGGGAAUAUUGCACAAUGGGCGGAAGCCUGAUGCAGCAACGCCGCGUGCGGGAUGACGGCCUUCGGGUUGUAAACCGCUUUCGCCUGUGACGAAGCGUGAGUGACGGUAAUGGGUAAAGAAGCACCGGCUAACUACGUGCCAGCAGCCGCGGUGAUACGUAGGGUGCGAGCGUUGUCCGGAUUUAUUGGGCGUAAAGGGCUCGUAGGUGGUUGAUCGCGUCGGAAGUGUAAUCUUGGGGCUUAACCCUGAGCGUGCUUUCGAUACGGGUUGACUUGAGGAAGGUAGGGGAGAAUGGAAUUCCUGGUGGAGCGGUGGAAUGCGCAGAUAUCAGGAGGAACACCAGUGGCGAAGGCGGUUCUCUGGGCCUUUCCUGACGCUGAGGAGCGAAAGCGUGGGGAGCGAACAGGCUUAGAUACCCUGGUAGUCCACGCUGUAAACGGUGGGUACUAGGUGUGGGGUCCAUUCCACGGGUUCCGUGCCGUAGCUAACGCUUUAAGUACCCCGCCUGGGGAGUACGGCCGCAAGGCUAAAACUCAAAGGAAUUGACGGGGCCCCGCACAAGCGGCGGAGCAUGCGGAUUAAUUCGAUGCAACGCGUAGAACCUUACCUGGGUUUGACAUGGAUCGGGAGUGCUCAGAGAUGGGUGUGCCUCUUUUGGGGUCGGUUCACAGGUGGUGCAUGGCUGUCGUCAGUUCGUGUCGUGAGAUGUUGGGUUAAGUCCCGCAACGAGCGCAACCCUUGUUCACUGUUGCCAGCACGUUAUGGUGGGGACUCAGUGGAGACCGCCGGGGUCAACUCGGAGGAAGGUGGGGAUGACGUCAAGUCAUCAUGCCCCUUAUGUCCAGGGCUUCACGCAUGCUACAAUGGCUGGUACAGAGAGUGGCGAGCCUGUGAGGGUGAGCGAAUCUCGGAAAGCCGGUCUCAGUUCGGAUUGGGGUCUGCAACUCGACCUCAUGAAGUCGGAGUCGCUAGUAAUCGCAGAUCAGCAACGCUGCGGUGAAUACGUUCCCGGG